CGUAGGGUGCGAGCGUUAAUCGGAAUUACUGGGCGUAAAGUGUGCGCAGGCGGCCGCGCAUGUCGAGUGUGAAAUCCCCGGGCUUAACUUGGGAAUUGCGCUCGAAACUACGUGGCUAGAGUGUGGCAGAGGAAGGUGGAAUUCCACGUGUAGCGGUGAAAUGCGUAGAGAUGUGGAGGAACACCGAUGGCGAAGGCAGCCUUCUGGGCUAACACUGACGCUCAUGCACGAAAGCGGUGGGGAGCAAACAGGAUUAGAUACCCUGGUAGUCCACGCCCUAAACGAUGAUGACUAGUUGUUGGAGGAGUUAAAUCCUUUAGUAACGCAGCUAACGCGUGAAGUCAUCCGCCGUGGGGAGGUACGGUCGCAAGAAUU
rnacentral:rRNA from 1 species